rnacentral:rRNA from 1 species
AAGCGGGACCUUCGGGCCUNGCGCCAUUAGAUGAGCCUAGGUCGGAUUAGCUAGUUGGUGAGGUAAUGGCUCACCAAGGCGACGAUCCGUAACUGGUCUGAGAGGAUGAUCAGUCACACUGGAACUGAGACACGGUCCAGACUCCUACGGGAGGCAGCAGUGGGGNAUAUUGGACAAUGGGCGAAAGCCUGAUCCAGCCAUGCCGCGUGUGUGAAGAAGGUCUUCGGAUUGUAAAGCACUUUAAGUUGGGAGGAAGGGUAGUAACUUAAUACGUUGCUACUUUGACGUUACCGACAGNAUAAGCACC